ACGAAAACCUUAGCUCACUUAUCCCCAUCGCCGCUGCCGCUCCCGCUCCCUUUUCCCCCGCCGUCGCCUGUCUCCUCCCUCGUCCUCGUCUCGUCGCCGCCGCCGCCACCUCCUCCCUGUCCCCGGCCUCCUUUCCUCCCCGUCCCCGGCCACCCCCACCCACCACCUUCGACCUUGUCUCCGCCAUGGACCCUCUCCCCUAGCCUUCACCCCCCAGACCCACCAGUCCAGGCACGGCCAUGGCGUCGCGGUCGGCUUUCUUGCCGGGGCGCGCGUGCGUGCUUCACGCCGGCCACGGGCCUCCGGCAAUUAGGACGGCGACGACGUCAACGGGAUCAUCGGGUCUCCGGCGGCUCGUUCCCCUCGCGCAACUGCUCCCCUCCUCCCCGCCCUCCCUGCGCUCCAGAUCCGGCCCCGACGAAGCCAUGGUGAGUCCUCUCGCGGCGUUUGGCCUCCCGGCGACGGCGGGGAUCCGCUGCUGCAGCGCCUCUGCGCGGGGACCUGCGAGGCCGCGCCGUGGCUGCGGGACGCCUCCAGGAACUCGGCCCGCGACCUGCUCGCCUGGACCAAGCAGGGCAGCGGCCUCCGUGCCAUCCUCGUCAUCUCGGUAGUCGAAGGCUUUCCUUGUCCUCUGUGAUUGAUGAUGAUGCUAAUGUGUGCUCUGCUCACAGUGCUCGCUCGACUUGCCUGUGUGUUCUCCACGGCCAUUCUUUUGCAGAGCCUGGUAAGCUAGCUUCAGUAACUCUUGUUUCAGUUAAUUACCCGCUGUCUGCGCUUCAGUAACUCUGAGAUGAGACAGUCUGCUUUCACCUUCUAUUCAUUUCUACACUUGGUUCAUGCCGUUACUCUGUCUAUGCAUUGUGGGAGCACUUGUGCUCAAGAGGCACUGGGUAGUGGCUGGCGUACCAAGCUGGGAGGAUGAGAGAACCAAAGGAGGGGGAGGAAGUGGACUCGAAGGAGACCAUACGCAAGGCACCUCCUCUUCGGUUGUGAGAGUGUCCAAGGGUCGUGGGUGCGGCUAAUGCCUAUAAUUUAUAAUUUCCUGAGCAAUGCACAUGGAUGAUAUCCGGAGCGGUCAAGAGGAUGAGCUGAUUUUUGAAAAAAAGUUUGAAGAGGUGCCCAGUUUGUGCUCGCUACCGAAGGAGCUCCAUGUUGAAGAAGAUUGAAGACACUUGUAGAGCUAUAGGGUUAACACCAGGGCACCGUAUCACGUGUAGAGCUUGUAUAUGUUAGAGCUUAUUAUGUGUAGAGCUUGUAAAGUAUAUGUUAUUUGUACAAUAGGAGCUCUGUACUGAAUCUGGCUGAUAAUAUUUGGAGUAUUAUGUGUGUGUUUUGUUUGUGCCAAUUUAAAUACUGGUUAUUUAUUUACUGUUAAAUUGAAAUAUGAAGAAUAUGAACUUGCUA